rnacentral:rRNA from 1 species
AGAGUUUGAUCCUGGCUCAGGACGAACGCUGGCGGCGCGCUUAACACAUGCAAGUCGAGCGAGAACCAGGACUUCGGUCCUGGGGACAGCGGCGAACGGGUGAGUAACACGUGGGUAAUCUGCCCUCGGUUCCGGGAUAGCCCGGGGAAACUCGGAUUAAUACCGGAUAGCCUCAGGAGCCUUCGGGUGAAUGAGAAAAGGUAGCUCUGGCCUCUGACCGAGGAUGAGCCCGCGGCGGAUUAGCUUGUUGGCGGGGUAAUGGCCCACCAAGGCGACGAUCCGUAGCUGGUCUGAGAGGACGAUCAGCCACACUGGGACUGAGACACGGCCCAGACUCCUACGGGAGGCAGCAGUGGGGAAUCUUGCGCAAUGGGCGAAAGCCUGACGCAGCGACGCCGCGUGGGGGAAGAAGGCCUUAGGGUUGUAAACCUCUUUCAGGUGGGACGAAGCCACUCGGGUGAAUAGCCCAGAGGGUGACGGUACCGCCAGAAGAAGCCCCGGCUAACUACGUGCCAGCAGCCGCGGUAAUAC